ensembl:lncRNA ice-structuring glycoprotein-like
AUGCGCUUGGCGCUUCUAGCAGCACAAACAGCAGCACAAACAGGAACAGCAGUGUUAGUCGAUGCAGUCACUGCAACACAGGCUGCAGCUGCUGUUGCAAAUUCUUCAACUCCAGACAUCGCAGCUGCAAACGCUGCAGACGCAGCUCGAGCAGCUCAGCAGGCAUCGAAUGGAGCAAUAGGAGCUGUAGCUGCUACCAAGGCCUCCAUAGCACUCCUCAGAAGUGAAGCACAACAACUUAACACUACAACGGCACCAACAACAACCACUAAUGGGACCUUAAUUAGCAACGAACAGGCAGUCAGAGCCAGCUCAGCCGCAGCGACUGCAGCAGCUGCAGCGGCUGCAGCGGCAGCUGCCGCUCUGGCAGAAGCUGCAGCAAAAGCCACUACAGGACCCAACGCCCAAAAUGCAGCAGAUGCAGCAGAUGUAGCAGCUGCAGCAGCACAACAAGCUGCCCUGGCUUCAGCUGCAGUAAUCAACGGAUCGCUUUCACCAACUCAGGCAGCAGCAAUAGCAAACAAGGCAGCCACUGCAGCCAAACAAGCAUCACUGGCAGCAGACCUAGCGGCACAGAGUGCACCAGCAUCAACAGCAGCAGCAGCAAGUAAUAUAUCACAGGCUGCAUCACAAAUCUCCACCGCAGCCGAUGAAGCCGCAGCCGCAGCCACAGAAGCAGCAGCUGGAAAUGCAACCUCGCUGACUGCAGCUGCUGCAAACACAAAGGCAUCAGCAGCAGCUUUGUCAGGCGCUCUAGCACAAAUACAGAGUGCCUUAUCAGCGGUCCCAACAGACACAGGAGCAGCAGUGAUGCGCUUGGCGCUUCUAGCAGCACAAACAGCAGCACAAAAUGGAACAGCAGUGUUAGUCGAUGCAGUGACUGCAACACAGGCUGCAGCUGCUGUUGCAAAUUCUUCAACUCCAGACAUCGCAGCUGCAAACGUUGCAGACGCAGCUCGAGCAGCUCAGCAGGCAUCGAAUGGAGCAAUAGGAGCUGUAGCUGCUACCAAGGCCUCCAUAGCACUCCUCAGAAGUGAAGCACAACAACUUAACACUACAACGGCACCAACAACAACUACUAAUGGGACCUUAAUUAGCAACGAACAGGCAGUCAGAGCCAGCUCAGCCGCAGCGACUGCAGCAGCUGCAGCGGCUGCAGCGGCAGCUGCCGCUCUGGCAGAAGCUGCAGCAACAGCCACUACAGGACCCAACGCCCAAAAUGCAGCAGAUGCAGCAGAUGUAGCAGCUGCAGCAGCACAACAAGCUGCCCUGGCUUCAGCUGCAGUAAUCAACGGAUCGCUUUCACCAACUCAGGCAGCAGCAAUAGCAAACAACGCAGCCACUGCAGCCAAACAAGCAUCACUGGCAGCAAACCUAGCGGCACAGAGUGCACCAGCAUCAACAGCAGCAGCAGCAAGUAAUAUAUCACAGGCUGCAUCACAAAUCUCCACCGCAGCCGAUGAAGCCGCAGCCGCAGCCAUAGAAGCAGCAGCUGGAAAUGCAACCUCGCUGACUGCAGCUGCUGCAAACACAAAGGCAUCAGCAGCAGCUUUUUCAGGCGCUCUAGCACAAAUACAGAGUGCCUUAUCAGCGGUCCCAACAAACCAAACAAACACAGAAGCAGAAGUGAUGCGCUUAGCGCUUCUAGCAGCACAAACAGCAGCACAAAAUGGAACAGCAGUGUUAGUCGAUGCAGUCACAGCAACACAGGCUACAGCUGCUGUUGCAAAUUCUUCAACUCCAGACAUCGCAGCUGCAAACGCUGCAGACGCAGCUCGAGCAGCUCAGCAGGCAUCGAAUGGAGCAAUAGGAGCUGUAGCUGCUACCAAGGCCUCCAUAGCACUCCUCAGAAGUGAAGCACAACAACUUAACACUACAACGGCACCAACAACAACUACUAAUGGGACCUUAAUUAGCAACGAACAGGCAGUCAGAGCCAGCUCAGCCGCAGCGACUGCAGCCGCUGCAGCGGCUGCAGCGGCUGCAGCGGCAGCUGCCGCUCUGGCAGAAGCUGCAGCAACAGCCACUACAGGACCCAACGCCCAAAUAGCAGCAGAUGCAGCAGAUGUAGCAGCUGCAGCAGCACAACAAGCUGCCCUGGCUUCAGCUGCAGUAAUCAACGGAUCGCUUUCACCAACUCAGGCAGCAGCAAUAGCAAACAACGCAGCCACUGCAGCCAAACUAGCAUCACUGGCAGCAAACCUAGCGGCACAGAGUGCACCAGCAUCAACAGCAGCAGCAGCAAGUAAUAUAUCACAGGCUGCAUCACAAAUCUCCACCGCAGCCGAUGAAGCCGCAGCCGCAGCCACAGAAGCCGCAGCCGGAGACGCAACCUCACUGACUGCAGCUGCUGCAAACACAAAGGCAUCAGCAGCAGCUUUGUCAGGCGCUCUAGCACAAAUACAGAGUGCCUUAUCAGCGGUCCCAACAAACGAAACAGACACAGGAGCAGCAGUGAUGCGCUUAGCGCUUCUAGCAGCACAAACAGCAGCACAAAAUGGAACAGCAGUGUUAGUCGAUGCAGUCACUGCAACACAGGCUGCAGCUGCUGUUGCAAAUUCUUCAACUCCAGACAUCGCAGCUGCAAACGCUGCACAGGCUGCUGGAGCAGCUCGGAAGGUAUCAAAUGCAGCAAUAGGAGCUAUAACUGCUGUUAAAGCCGUCAUACCAUUGAUCAGAAGUUUUGGAUCACCACCUAACACUACAACAACACCAACACCAACCACUAAUGUGACCUUAAUUAGAAACGAAAAGGCAGCCACAGCCACUGCCAUCACAGCAGCUGCAGCUGCCUUGGCUGCCUCAGCAGCAGCAGCGGCUGGAGCAGCAACACCUCAAGUAGACACUGCAAUAAUUGCUGCACAAGUAGCAGCUUUGACUGCCUCAUUAGUAGAAGCAGGAGACGCAUCAGUAACAACAGCAGUGAACACAGCCAGUUUUGCUGCAGGUGCCGCAGAAGCAGCUGCACUAGCAGCAAUAGAAGCAUCCUCCAAGGCCCCGUCCUCAGCAGCAACAGCAGUGACACAAUUAGCAAAGGCUUCAUCACAAGCUGCAGCGGCAGCGGCACAGGCAGCUUUAGCAGCAGCACAGGCAGCUGCAGGAGCAGCAGCAGAAGCUACUAACACAACCGCACAAGCUGCAGAAGCACUUGCAACUGCAGCAAAUCGAGCUUCACUAAUACUACCUGUCUUUAAACAAGAUUCAGUCGCAACAUUAGCACAAACAGUGGCAGAAAUAGCAGGAGUCGCCGCACUUACAGUGGCAGCACAGUCAGACGCUGUGUGUAGCCCAGAUAUAACCACAAGUUUGACAAGAGCUGUCACAAAGGCUGCAGCAGCAGCAGCAAAUGAAGCUGCACAGAUUAUUUCAGGGCCAAAUGUUUUAACUACAGUGGAACCAACCUUCAGCAGUACUACAAUGGUACCCACAGGCGCAAACAGCAACCUAACAACAUCAGCAACCAAGUCAGUGACAGCAGCAGCCAGGCAGGCAGCGGUGGCAGGGUCUGCAGCCGCCGCCGCGGCAGCCGCCGCCGCUGCAGCCGCAGCCGCAGCUGCAUCCGGACCAGCAGGAUUCGCAGCCGCACAAGCCGCAGCAAACGCUUCACAAGACGCAGCAAGAGCCGCCGCUCUGGUUGCAACCGGUGGAAUAACAGUGGACCAGGCAGUCACAGCAGCACAACGAGCAUCCGAUGCAGCAGUGGCGGCAGCCACUGCAGCAAAUACAGCAGCGCUACAACAAGGAUCACCAGCAGCUGCACAAAUCGCAGCAGCAGCUAAACAAUCAGCUGAUGCUGCACAAGUAGCAGCAGCUGAUGCAAAAAAUGCAGCUUCAACAACAGCAACACCAGAGACAUUGACCGCCACAGCAGACGCAGCCGCUUCAGAGGCCACAUUAGUAGGACAAGCAGUAGCUCAGCUACAGCAGGUACUCUCAAAAAGCACAGGGUUGACCCAAGACCAACAAAACUCCAUAAUAUUGAUACAAGGGCUGGCAAUGAUGGCAAGAGUAACGGCCCUGACAGUAACAACAGUAGCUCAGACGGCCAAGCAAGCAACAUUAGCAACAGGGGAAAAUGCAGCAACCCUCACACAAGCCGUGGCCGAAGCAGCAGCCUUGGCAACAGAGGGAGCUUUAGCCACCGCCGCAGUCGCUACAGCUGCCGUGUCAAGUUCCAUAACAGCAGCAUCAGGAUCUACAGCUGCGCCAGGAACUACAGCCGCACCAGGAACUACAGCAGCAUCAGGAACUACAGCGACAUCUGUAGGAACAAACACAAGUUCUGGAACAAACAACAGCGCGACAGACGCAGGUGUGUUCAGCAGACUGAGCCUCAUCCCUGUCAUCAUGGCCAUAGUCCUGCUGUAG